rnacentral:rRNA from 1 species
AAUGAACGCUGGCGGCGUGCCUAACACAUGCAAGUCGUACGAGAAAUCCUGGGCAACCGGGAAAGUAAAGUGGCGCACGGGUGAGUAACGCGUGGGUAACCUACCCUUGAAUUGGGGAUAACUCUUCGAAAGAGGAGUUAAUACCGAAUAACAUUUCAAUUCCUAAGGGAGUUGAAAUCAAAGGUGGCCUCUACAUGAAAGCUAUCGUUUAAGGAUGGGCCCGCGUACCAUUAGCUAGUUGGUAGGGUAAUGGCCUACCAAGGCAACGAUGGUUAGCUGGUCUGAGAGGAUGGUCAGCCACACUGGAACUGAGAUACGGUCCAGACUCCUACGGGAGGCAG